rnacentral:lncRNA from 1 species
AUGGAAGUCAGACAGCAGAGAUGGGCAUUGCUUCGUAAAGCCCUAUACUAUGAGCAGUCAAGUUCUUUGGAGAAUCAAGUCGCUCUUGCUCACGGUGGUUAUCAUGCCCCAGGCUCUGGGAAGCUCAGUUUACUUUCAGAGGUGGAGAGGCGAGGCAGGUGAAGGCCUGGAGUAAGGUCCGAAAAAGUCAGAUUCUUGGACGUGGUCGAAAGAAAAAUGGAACUAUGUGAAGGUGAGUACAACAGGGGGAUAGAGGGGAUAGCCAGGGAGUAUCUGUGACCACAGACAUUGUCAUUGUCAUGUGCCUGAACUCAGGAAUCACUGCAAUGGAGAGGUGUAUUCCACUCGUUCGAAAGUAGACACAACCCAGGAGGGCCAUGCUCUUCCAAAAAGAACCUUUUCAUUUCAUUAUUGAUUGAUUGAUUGAUUGAUUGAUUGAUUGAUUGAUUGUCCUGGUGAUUUGCUAGGAACCAGACAUAGCGAUGGAAGCAAGCAAUCUGGUUCCAUCAUCGAGGACUUUUUCAAUUUGAAGCACUGCUGACCAGUACACUUGUUGAGGGCCGUAGC